AUUGAACGCUGGCGGCAGGCCUAACACAUGCAAGUCGAGCGGAUGAAGGGAGCUUGCUCCUGGAUUCAGCGGCGGACGGGUGAGUAAUGCCUAGGAAUCUGCCUGGUAGAGGGGGAUAACGUCCGGAAACGGGCGCUAAUACCGCAUACGUCCUGAGGGAGAAAGUGGGGGAUCUUCGGACCUCACGCUAUCAGAUGAGCCUAGGUCGGAUUAGCUAGUUGGUGGGGUAAAGGCCUACCAAGGCGACGAUCCGUAACUGGUCUGAGAGGAUGAUCAGUCACACUGGAACUGAGACACGGUCCAGACUCCUACGGGAGGCAGCAGUGGGGAAUAUUGGACAAUGGGCGAAAGCCUGAUCCAGCCAUGCCGCGUGUGUGAAGAAGGUCUUCGGAUUGUAAAGCACUUUAAGUUGGGAGGAAGGGCAGUAAGUUAAUACCUUGCUGUUUUGACGGUACCAACAGAAUAAGCACCGGCUAACUUCGUG
rnacentral:rRNA from 1 species